AACCUACAACAUGGUGAAGAGCUUGUAGUUGGAUAAUUUAAGGCAAUCCGUCUUCAAAUAUGUGCCUGGAUUUUUAAGGAAAGCGAACAUCAGUAAGGGUGCAUGGUUAAAACGCCUUCUGAUUCAGGUUUCUUUCCGCUAGGUGGCGGUAAUUCAUCUAAAAGUUGUUUGCCAGCCGCUUUGUACAGAAAGGCGAAGAAGGCUCGAGCUGGUUUGAACCGAUUAGCCAUGUGGUUUAAAAUGAAAGAGGCACGCUGUACUGAUAAAGCAGACGCUACUAGAAACUUUGCCUCGGGAGUAAGAAAAGUGUUUCGUAGCAGUCAUGGUGGAUUGCGCUGAAUGGAUGAGGCGUCCCGUCGGUUUAAAUUGGAGUUCAAGUCGGGAAGCAAAAGGAAAAAUCCUGUGAAGAUUCAAAGGCUCGGCUCUGCAGACUUGAACUGGAACGUCUUCGUCUCUAAAGGAAGAAGAUCGAAGAAGUAGCUGUGUGAUGGAACAUUUUUAGUUAAUCAAGUGUCCUUUAUAGUCUGGGUUAAAGAGUUUCAAUGCUGAGACUCCCUUUAUCUAAAACCUGCUGUCUGAGUCGUUCAUACGACAGAUUGCUAGGCAACCGGACCACCAUGUUCCACAGACUGUUGAAGGCAUGAUUCACAGCGACGUGUCUGAAGUUCUGGACAACAUGAACAACUUAAGGGAAACAUCAGGAAGACUAAAGCUUGAGGGUUUUCAGCUUUGUUUGCAAUAAUUGUUCUGCUGCUAUUCUAUGAUAAAAAAUUGUUUCUGCCAUAAGACAUUUUGUUGAGGUAAAAAAACGGUGAAGCCUUUGCUGAAUGUCAUACUGCAACAGUUCUUAAUGUGACAUUGUAAUCCAGCUAGUCGUAUCUUUGUGUUCUUGUGGAGGGGACAGAGUUUGUCAGAGGAGGAUUGCAGGUUGAGGGAUUGUGUUGCAUCAGCGGCCACCACACUUAAACGUCUGCGCUUUGCUUUUGUCAGCCAGACAGGUUUCAUAAUACAAGAACGCUUCUGGUUGGGUGGUAUAUUGGAAUUUUGAUUAACACAUUUCACAAGAAAUACUGCGAGCAAAAUUGUAUUGCACUUGUUUGCGGGCAAUAAAAUGACUUAAAAUUUAUUGAGGAACAGAGAAUAAUCUCAAUAGAGGGAGGCUUUAAAAUCCAUCGAGACAGACUAUAUGUGAUAUGAAGAGCCAGUAUAUUGUUUACUACAUUUUAUGAGGAUGUAUUUGCAAUAUUAACAGAACAAUGGAUCUUGUAUAUCAGUGUAUUGCUAGUCAAGAAAAUAUCAUUUCACCACUUUACAUUUAAUCCAAAUCCAUAAGGAUUUGGAUUAAAUCCUUAUGGAAUUCCCUAAACACAGGGAAUUCUGUGUUUAGGGUAAGUUUUAAAGUUAAAUUUGUUUAAACUUUGUGUUGACACAUUUCUCUUAGAACUGGACUGUUGAUUUGAAACUGAUGUGAUAAUUAUUAAACCUGUUCAAUACAGAAGU